rnacentral:rRNA from 1 species
AUUGAACGCUGGCGGCAGGCCUAACACCUGCAAGUCGCGCGAGCGGCGGACGGGUCAGUACUGUAUGGGGACUGCCCGUUAGAGGGGGAUAACUCCUGGAAAAGGUAGCUCAUACCGCUUACUAUCGGAUAACCCAUAUGGGAUUAGCUAGUAGGUGAGUUAAUGGCUCACCUAGGGGACGACCCCUAGCUGGUCUGCGAGGAUGAUCCGCCACACUGGGACUGGGACACGGCCCAGAAUCCUACGGAGGCAGCAGUGGGGAAUAUUGCACAAUGGGCGCAAGCCUGAUGCAGCCAUGCCGCGUGUAUGAAGAAGGCCCUAGGGUUGUAAAGUACUUUCAGUCGGGAGGCGUUACCGACAGAGGAAGCACCGGCUAACGCCGUGCCAGCAGCCGCGGUAAUAC